rnacentral:rRNA from 1 species
UACGGAGGGUGCAAGCGUUAUCCGGAUUUAUUGGGCUUAAAGGGUGUGUAGGCGGGCUUUUAAGUCAGUGGUGAAAUCUCCGGGCUCAACCUGGAAACUGCCAUUGAUACUAUUAGUCUUGAAUUUUGUAGAGGUAGGCGGAAUAAGUCAUGUAGCGGUGAAAUGCAUAGAUAUGACUUAGAACACCAAUUGCGAAGGCAGCUUGCUAGACAAACAUUGACGCUGAGGCACGAAAGCGUGGGGAUCAAACAGG